rnacentral:tRNA from 1 species
AUCUUUUUAGUACAGCUAGUAUAUUUGACUUCCAAUCAAAAAGCCUUGGUUAAACUCCAAGAAUAGAUA